GAUGAACGCUGACAGAAUGCUUAACACAUGCAAGUCAACUGUGGCGGACGGGUGAGUAACGCGUAAAGAACUUGCCUCUCAGUUAGGGACAACAUUUGGAAACGAAUGCUAAUACCUGAUACUGUGAGAGGGCUUUGCGUCCCAUUAGCUAGUUGGAGAGUUAACGGCUCACCAAGGCGAUGAUGGCUAGCCGGCCUGUGAGGGUGAUCGGCCACAAGGGGACUGAGGCACCGGCCGUACUCAUACGGGAGGCAGCAGUGGGGAAUAGUGGACGAUGGACCAAAGGCUGAUCCAGCAAUUCUGUGUGCAAGAUGAAGUUUUCGGAAUGUAAAGUGCUUUCAGUUGGGAAGCGGUACCAACAGAAGAAGUGACGGCUAAAUACGUGCCAGCAGCCGCGGUAAUUC
rnacentral:rRNA from 1 species